CCUACGGGAGUCAGCAGUGAGGAAUAUUGGUCAAUGGUCGGGAGACUGAACCAGCCAAGCCGCGUGAGGGAGGAAGGUACAGAGUAUCGUAAACCUCUUUUGUCAGGGAACAAAGGCGGGGACGUGUCCCCGGAUGAGUGUACCUGAAGAAAAAGCAUCGGCUAACUCCGUGCCAGCAGCCGCGGUAAUACGGAGGAUGCGAGCGUUAUCCGGAUUUAUUGGGUUUAAAGGGUGCGCAGGCGGUCUGUUAAGACAGCGGUCAAAGCCCGGGGCUCAACCCCGGCCCGCCGUUGAAACUGGCAGUCGCGAGUUGGAGAGAAGUAUGCGGAAUGCGCGGUGUAGCGGUGAAAUGCAUAGAUAUCGCGCAGAACUCCGAUUGCGAAGGCAGCAUGCCGGCUCCACACUGACGCUGAGGCACGAAAGCGUGGGUAUCGAACAGGAUUAGAUACCCGGGUAGUC
rnacentral:rRNA from 1 species